AUUGAACGCUGGCGGCAGGCCUAACACAUGCAAGUCGAACGAGUGGCGGACGGGUGAGUAAUGUCUGGGAAACUGCCUGAUGGAGGGGGAUAACUACUGGAAACGGUAGCUAAUACCGCAUACCAUCAGAUGUGCCCAGAUGGGAUUAGCUUGUUGGUGGGGUAAAGGCUCACCAAGGCGACGAUCCCUAGCUGGUCUGAGAGGAUGACCAGCCAAACUGGAACUGAGACACGGUCCAGACUCCGACGGGAGGCAGCAGUGGGGAAGAUUGCACAAUGGGCGAAAGCCGGAUGCAGCCAUGCCGCGUGUAGGAAGAAGGCCUUCGGGUUGUAAAGUACUUUCAGCGGGGAGGCGUUACCCGCAGAAGAAGCACCGGCUAACUCCGUGCCAGCAGCCGCGGUAAUAC
rnacentral:rRNA from 1 species